rnacentral:rRNA from 1 species
AGUGAACGCUGGCGGUAGGCCUAACACAUGCAAGUCGAACGGCAGCACAGCAAGAGCUUGCUCUUACGGGUGGCGAGUGGCGGACGGGUGAGGAAUACAUCGGAAUCUACUUUUUCGUGGGGGAUAACGUAGGGAAACUUACGCUAAUACCGCAUACGACCUACGGGUGAAAGCAGGGGAUCUUCGGACCUUGCGCGAUUGAAUGAGCCGAUGUCGGAUUAGCUAGUUGGCGGGGUAAAGGCCCACCAAGGCGACGAUCCGUAGCUGGUCUGAGAGGAUGAUCAGCCACACUGGAACUGAGACACGGUCCAGACUCCUACGGGAGGCAGCAGUGGGGAAUAUUGGACAAUGGGCGCAAGCCUGAUCCAGCCAUACCGCGUGGGUGAAGAAGGCCUUCGGGUUGUAAAGCCCUUUUGUUGGGAAAGAAAAUCAGCAUGUUAAUACCCCGCUGUUCUGACGGUACCCAAAGAAUAAGCACCGGCUAACUUCGUG